rnacentral:rRNA from 1 species
CGCGUAGGCGGAUUAGUAAGUUGGGAGUGAAAGCCCGGGGCUUAACCUCGGAACUGCUUUCAAAACUGCUAGUCUUGAGUGAAGUAGGGGGUGAUGGAAUUCCUAGUGUAGAGGUGAAAUUCUUAGAUAUUAGGAGGAACACCGGUGGCGAAGGCGGUCACCUGGACUUCAACUGACGCUGAGGCGCGAAAGCGUGGGGAGCAAACAGGAUUAGAUACCCUGGUAGUCCACGCUGUAAACGAUGAGUGCUAGAUAUCGGGAGAAUUUCUUUCGGUUUCGCAGCUAACGCAUUAAGCACUCCGCCUGGGGAGUACGAUCGCAAGAUUAAA